rnacentral:rRNA from 1 species
AUGAGUAAGCGGAGCGACCUGCUCUGCGUCCUGCUGCUGUCGCUGGUGCUGCUGCUUCAGGCUGCCUCUCUCCGCUUGCCCGCGGCCGCAGGCAGCAACUGCCAGCUGGUCGUUGUUGCUGCUGCUGCUCGGAUUGGAGACGAAUUUUUGUGUCAAGAUCCGAUCGGGCGACCCAGCAGCAGCAGCGUCAUGUCCAGCAAUGCCGGCGACGAGCUCAGCAGCCUCCCCGCUGCUCCUGCUGCCGCCUUCACCCAAGAGGGCUCCACUGCUCCUGCUGCCGCCUUCACCCAAGAGGGCUUCACUGCUCCUGCUGAUGCCUUCACCCAAGAGGGCUUCCUUGGUGACGAAGCCUUCUCAUCCGGUGACAGAUACCCAAAAGAAGAUGAAGACGAACUGCUAUCCGGUGAUGGAUAUGCAAGAGAUCCCGACAGAUCUGUUGAAGAAGAAGGGCCUCUAGGCGAAGAAGAGGAAGACGGAGAUGAUCUGUUGCUCAGCGUUAAACAAGGUGCUCAAGUUGAGCCUAGCAGGAACAACUCUGAAGAGCAUUGGAGCAGUGCCGACGUGCAGUGCCCCGAGUGCGGGAAGCUCUUCAGGAACGACAAGUCCAUGUUCGGUCAUCUCCGAAGCCAUCCCAAUAGGGGCUACAAAAAGGGUUCUGGUCAUAUCAAAAGCCGUCCAAGCAAAGGCUACAAACCACCUGCCAGGCCCAAGCCACUGCCGAGCCGCAACGGUAAACUGUCGCCACUGCCGAUCCGCAACGGUAAACUGUCGCCACUGCCGAGCCGCAACGGUAAUCUGUCACCACUGCCGAGCCGCAACGGUAAUCUGUCGCCACCUGCCAACGACAGCACUCGCGUGGCCAGGUACAGCCAGCGUGAUCCUGAAUUAAGUAGAUUUGAAGUAAUGAUGGCUUACGUGAUGCUCACGCUUAAGCAACGCGGCGAUGGGGUAGCGCAGGAUCAGUCUCACAAGAGAAAGCAUGAGUCCAGCGAACUAGAUGUUCCUGAAGAAGAUUUGGUAAGGAACAAAGCAGGAGAUGGUGUCGUGCUCGGUAAUAAACAUGGCACCUCUGUUGUUGAGAUGCUAGGAGAUGCUGUGGUGCACCGUAGCGAACAAGGCAGUUCCCUUGUGGAGAUGGCAGUAGAUGAUGCCGUGCUCGGUGAUAAACAUGGCACCUCUGUUGCUGAGAUGCCAGGAGAUGAUGCGGUGCACCGUAGCGAACAAGGCAGUUCCCUUGUGGAGAUGGCAGUUGAUGAUGUCGUGCUCGGUGAUAAACAUGGCACCUCAGUUGCUGAGAUGGCAGGAAAUGAUGUCGUGCUCGGUGAUAAAAAUAGCACCUCAGUUGCUGAGAUGGCAGGAAAUGAUGUCGUACUCGGUGAUAAACAUGGUACCUCAGUUGCUGAGAUGCCAGGAGAUGAUGCGGUCUACCGUAGCGAAGGAGGCAGUUCCCUUGCGGAGAUGGCAGGAGCUGACAUGGUGCUCCCGAACGAGCACCACGGUUCUGUUGCGGUGAUGGCAGAAGAUGAUGUGGUGCACCGUAGCGAACAAGGCAGUUCCCUUGCAGAGAUGGCAGGGGAUGAUGUCGAGCUCGGUGAUAAACAUGGCACCUCGGUUGCUGAGAUGCCAGAUGAUGAUGCGGUGCACCGUAGCGAACAAGGCAGUUCCCUUGCAGAGAUGGCAGGAGAUGACGUGGUGCUCCCAAACGAGCACCACGGUUCUGUUGCAGUGAUGGCAGGAGAUGCGGUAGUCCGCAACGAACAUGGCAGUGUCGAGGUACCAAGGAAGAAGGGGAGGAAGAAGUCCAAAGAAAGCACAGAGGCACGUAGAAAGGAGAAGGUGCCCAGUGCAAGCACGGUCAAGCGUUCUUACACAUGCAAGCAAUGCAAGGCAGAAUUCCCCACACAUCAAGCUCUGGGCGGGCACAUGGCUGCGCACAACAAGGACAAGAGGAUCCAGGCCCAGAAUGAGCAAGCAGCAGCAGCAUGGGAGGCACAACAGAACCAGAUAGACCGGAGCCUAAACAGGCUGGUAACCAGCAGCAUGAAACCAGCAUGGGAGGCACAUCAGAGCCAGAAAGGCCAGAACCUGAACAGGCAGGAAACCAAAGGUGGCGGUGAGGAACCCAGGCAAGGUGGCGGCAUGUUCAUGUCCACCAGAGAACUGCUUAUGGAACGCUACACCAAGCUGUUCAACCAGGGGUGGCUAUCCAGGCAGGAGGCUGGAGGGUCCUCCAAGAGGCAGCACACUGAGAAUAAGGAUGGUGGCUCUCCGUCGAUAGCGCCGCCCCUUGCAGAUGGAGGUAGGCGCAGGCCAUUUGACAUUGACCUCAAUGCCAUGGCUCCAGAAAAGGAAUAG